rnacentral:rRNA from 1 species
CCAGUUGUCCCGCCCGGGGCACGGCUGGUUGGCUACGUUCGGGAAGGGUAACCGCUGAAAGCAUCUAAGCGGGAAACCAUCUUCAAGAUAAGGUCUCCACAAGAAGGACUCGUCCUUUUUGGUAGGCCCCCAGCAGACUACUGGGUUGAUAGGCCAGAAGUGGAAGACCGGCAACGGUCUGUGAGCUGACUGGUACUAAUAGGCCAACACAAACAACAACA